GAAAUAUAAGACUAAUAAGAUUCUUUCUAUCAGAUUCUUAAUAAUUUCUGUCAAAAUCCCCAAAAUCUCCAAAAUCGUUGCAUCCUCAGAUUCUUUCUAUCAGAUUGAAAAUCCCCAAAAUCCAUCUUCUCAAUUGCAACCAUAGCUCCCGAUUUUCCCAAAGCCCAUCUCUUCUCAAAUGCAAAUCAUGAAUUCCCGAUUUUGAUUCUCAAUCAACUGUGCGUCUUGUGGAUCUUAGUUUAGGGCUAAAGGAAACAAUCACGUACGCAUCUCGGGCGACUGGCCGAAGACGAAAACUCCUUAGCAGCGUGGUCAUCCCCCCGACGGUAAUCUUUCUUUUAUUGUUCAUUAUUAAGCUUAAUUGGAUUGCAGCGUGGUCAUCCCUCACCUCCUUAGUUGGAUUGCAGAAUGUUUUUAUUAAGCUUAAUCUUACCUGUUAGUCAAUCAGUUCAUCUUGUGGAAAGAUAGAUUGCUAGAAGGUUUAUUUAAGGGUAUUAUUAGUACUAGAUUGGAAAGCUAAAGUAUUGGUUUCUUUAAAGCUCUGUGGUAAGCUAAAGAUUGAAAGUUUUGAAUGUUAGAGUAAAAAGUAGAGAAAAAAAGACAGUUUGGAGGCUAUGAUUUUUAUAUUUGGUUACUUUAAACACGAUGAGCUCUUAUCCAAGUCUCUAUAUCCCAUAGAUGGUAGAUCUCUCUCUACAUCACAUAUACUAAUCCUGACUAUAUAUAUUAUAAUAUGGGCCUAUUCUUCUCCCACUUGUUAAUUUUUUAUUUUCUCUUUUUAAUAAUAGUAAUAUAGAAUAAUAAAAUAUCUUUAAUAUUUUAAUAUAAUUUUGUUAUCAGUUCAUCUUGUGGAAAGAUAGAAUGAGAUUGGUUUAUUUAAGGGUAUUAUUAGUACUAGAUUGGAAAGCUAAAGUAUUGCUUUCUAAGGAUCUAAUAAUAAUAAUAAUAAUAAUAAUAAUAAUAAUAAUAAUUUGACAAAUUUUAAUGAUGUUCUGUUCAGAAAGGAUGCCUCUUGAUCGAAGUUGGAUUGAUAGGCGAGUUGCUGAAAAUGGAAGAACAAUUAGUGAAGAAUUUAGAGAGGGAGUAAAGGAAUUCCUCAAUUUUGCUUACUCUAUUCCUGGGAAUGUUAGUGAGCAGAAAAUUAAGUGUCCUUGCUCAACUUGUAAAUUGAGGUUCUUCCAGCUUCGAGAAGAUGUUGAAAUACAUCUUUAUAGAAAGGGAUUCAAAAAUAAUUACAAAAAAUGGUUUGUGCAUGGCGAAUAUUUAUCCGAAGAAAGUUCAAAUCAUGGUGAUAAUGUUGAGGUCCCGCUUGAUACAAAUCCGUACAUAGAUCUCGUGCGUGAUGUUGUUGGGCAAAGUUUUGAUUGGAGUAGCGAGACAUCUAGAUUAGAAGAACCAAAUUCUGAUGCCGCCAAGUUUUUUCAACUUUUAAAAGAUGCUGAUGAUCCCCUAUGGCCAGGUUGUGAGAAGUCAACAAAAUUAUCUAUGGUAGCACAAUUGUUGAACCUCAAGGAUGAGUAAAACAUUAGCCAAGUUCACUUUAAUCGCAUUAUCUCAUUAAUGAAGAGUGCGUUGCCUAAAGAUGAGAAGCUUCCUGAGAAUUAUUAUAGGGCGAAGCAAAUGGUAAAAAUGUUGGGACUUGGUUAUCAGAAGAUACAUGCAUGUGAAAACGAUUGCGUGUUGUAUUACAAUGAUAAUGAAAAUAAGACGAAUUGUUCCGUAUGUGGUCAUCCUCGAUUUAAACCUAAGCCACAGGGAAAUAAGAAGCAAAAAGAUAUACCUUUUAAGGUUUUGCGAUAUUUUCCAAUUACACCUAGACUUCAAAGAUUGUAUAUGUCCAAUGUCACAGCAGAACACAUGACAUGGCAUAAAAAGAAUCCCAGUCCCGAUGGUGUAGUUGUUCACCCAGCAGAUAGUGAGGCAUGGAAACACGUUUAUCGCACUUAUCCAUCUUUUUCUGCAGAAUCUCGGAAUAUUAGACUUGGACUCUCCACUGAUGGGUUCAAUCCGUUUGGAAACUUUGCAAAUCCGUACUCCUGUCGGCCAGUUAUAGUCACUCCAUAUAAUUUGCCACCUGGAAUGUGUAUGAAGCAACCCUACAUGUUCUUGACAUUAAUCAAUCCCGGUCCAAAGAGUCCUGGUAAGGAUAUAGAUGUAUACUUGAGACCACUGAUUGAUGAAUUAAAAAUGUUGUGGAAUGACGGAGUUAACACCUAUGAUUCAUAUGCGAAGCAAAAUUUUCAGAUGAAAGUUGCACUUAUGUGGACUAUUAGCGAUUUUCCAGCUUAUGGAAUGUUGUCAGGUUGGAGUACUCAUGGUAAGAUGGCUUGCCCUUAUUGUAUGGAGGGUAGCAAGGCUUUUACCCUUGAGAAUGGUAGAAAACCUUGUUUCUUUGAUUGUCAUCGUCAAUUUUUGCCUAUUGAUCAUUCUUAUCGAUAUCAAAAGGACAAAUUCAAGAGGAAUAAAAUUGAAUGCGACUUUCCACCACCUCGGUUAUCAAGCGAAGAGGUAUUUGAGCGUGUGUCAAAAUUGCCACCUAUUACAUUUGGAAAGGUUGGCAAUAAACAUAAAAUAGAUGGUUAUGGAAAGGAACAUAAUUGAAGUAACAAUAUGAUUUUGCAAAAAAAUAUUGGUGUUCUAUCUUUCUUUUAUGUUUACUUCUGUAACCAUAUCCUGAUUUAAAGAGCAAUACAGCAUUGUACCUCGGGAAACCCAGCCUGAUCAAGGAUUGCACGCACAUUUUCUGACAUAAAAUCUACACCCAAAACAGUAAUAUAUUGGCAUCCCUCUUUUGCCAUUUUGACAGCCAUAUCUGCCAUAACCAACGAGUCAGAUAUAUGGAUGUGAGGCCACAGUUUCUGUGCAGCAGUCAAAACCCUGAUCAAUAUAAUAUCAAGUCAUAUGAUUAGUUAUAAGUUACAUUUACUUAUAAUAAUUUACUGCAUGCUAUCUUCUUCUUCUACUUAUAAUAAUUUCUAUUUGUGUUUGUAGAUUUCAGCCCAAUUCUGUGGUACGACAAAUUGUUAGUUCUAUAAAAAAUCAAAUGGGGCCAUAUCCGACUUGGUUAUAAGUGGCAAAAAACCUCAAGAAUGAGUUAUGGGUUGAAUUUGAAGAGAUGUAUCAAUUUAGUAAUGAAGUAGAGAAUAAAAAGGCAAGAAAGGUUUGGGAGCAGGUUUGUGCUAUAUGCUAUAAAGAUUUAAUGAAAAAGGCAAGAGACGGGGCAAAGAAAAAAAUAGGGCUUACAACUUACAAUUUUGAAAAAAUGGCCGAGUACCCACCCUCGUUCAUGAAGAAAGAAUAUUGGGUCUCUUUUUGCGAAGGAUGGAAUAAGGAAAGUUGGCAAAAAAUUUCAAAUUCUGGUUCUACAAACCGAAAGAAAGGUGGAACACUUAACCAUGUUGGAGGGUCAAUACCUUUUAUAAGUCACGCGAAAAAGCUUGUAAGUAUUUUUUGUUAUGGUUGCUUUAAUAUAAUUAAAAAUAUUUGAUUAUCGUGCUUGUGCUUCCAUGAUGGUAGGAAAAUGAGAAGAAAACUAAACCUACUCACAUCGAGGUGUUUGAUCUAACACACACAAAGGACGGUGUGUAUUGUAAUGACAAGGGAAGAAAAGUAGGAGUAAGUGUGUACCUAUAAGCUUUGUGUAUUGUCAAUUAUACAUGUUUGACAUAUUAUGUUCUAAACUUGGCUCAUUCAAUACCUUUUAUAGAAAAAUAUAAAAGUGAUAUUAGUCAAAAGUACGGAAGUAAUGAACCUAUUUUUGAUGCGGAUUUAUGGACAGAGGCUUCAGGUGGUAUUAAAAAGGGACGAGUGUUUGGUCUCGGUUCGAGUGAGGAUCUAAAAGCAAGUGGGUUCAGUGAAUCGAUUUCUACAAAUGCCUCUACAUCUUGCUUCACUCCCUCACCUACAUCACCUGAUAUGCAAUCUCUCAUCCUUGCUACGAUGGAGACCCCCCAAUUUCAAGCUAUGAUGGAUGCAAGACAAAAACAAUUGGAAGAGGCUAUGCAAAAGCAAUUUCAAGAAGGGAUGAGGAAACUGAGAGAAAAGUCGUUGAAUCUUCCAAAUAGCGAUGUAAGUGUUUUUUCUUGCCUAGUAUUCUAGUAUUGUCUUCAUUCUUCAAUAAUUUAGAAUUCAGUGCAAGUCUAGGCAUAUAUAUGGUUUCUCAUUUCGUUGAAUGCUAUUUCAAACACAUAAAUUUUUUUUCUCAUUUCUCAUUGCAAGUACAUUAUGUAAUAGCACUUGUGUUAAGAAUUUGAAGGACUAUUUUCUAUUUUUUAGCCAUGCUACUGCUAUAAGUGACUGCUGUGCUAUGAUUGUUAUUAUGAUGAUUGUUCUGCCAACUCUUGUUAAGUUUUGUGAAUGCUUGGCUUAGGCACAAGGAGAUAGGUUGGCUGUGGUGUUAUAAGGUGAUCUAAUGUAGUUAUAGAACAAACAAAUAGCCAUGACACCAGUGAUUAUGGACUGUGCACACCACCUGCUCGACGAAAGUCCCAAGUGGACUGCCUUAAUUAAAAGUCAAGUAGUAGGCACAAACAAGGCUAGAAACUUACUCAUGUAUUACAUGUAUUGAUAAUUAUCAAGUUAAGCCUCUUAAAAUGAAAUAAAAUUCAGUCUCAAGUUAAAAUGAAGAAUUAGUAAAAUUAGAAUGUCAAUCACUGUAUUGGGCAGUCUAUUAAGACAGUCAUGAUGGUGUUAUAAAUUCUAAACAUACUUGUAUGUGCUAGACAUAAUCUAUCUGAAUUCGUAUAAAAACCAAGCUUUUGUUCAAAAGUCUUAUAACUUUUUGGACUACUCUCUUUUAGAAAAUAGGAUAGGGGAGGCAGGGCUAUUGCCUAAUGGCAGCAGCAGGCAUCAAAUUUUUUUUGGGACUUGUCUCUUUUUGGUUUUCUGAUUAGCUUCAGUUAUUAAGAAAAUAGUUUUUUUUAAGAGGUAGCAUAUUAAGAGUGAUAACUUGGAAAUAGGGCAGGGCAGGGCUGCUACCUAAUGGCAGCAGAGGAUAGUUGCUGGACCAUUUUAGCAGCUGGGUCAAAUUAAUUUCAAGUGAAAGACACUUGUUCUAUCUUUGUUUGGAUACAUUUUACUGUUUGGAUACAUUAUACUUUGGAUAGUUGCUGGACCAUUUUCAGUCUCAGUUAUGUUUUGUGUGUGUGAAAGAGAUUGUGGGUCUGUAGAGAUUUGAGGAAAACCUUAUCACUUUAGGAAAAUUGUGGAUCUUUGUAGUAUCUAUUAAGUACUAUUUUAAACCUACUGAAGAAUCCCACAAGAAAAUUACUACUCCAUUAAAUAACAACAACAGCAAGGAUAGUUGCAACAAAAAAUAAAUUAAAAUGAAAAAGGAAGGCGAAUAAAUGUAUAUAUGAAAGGAAGCAGUGAGUUUAAUGGUUAAAAAUCUUACCCUUCCAAGCUGUUCUUCAGUUGGGCUUUGUAUUUACCAGUGUAAAUUGGCACUUAUGUGCCUACAUUGGACAUCACACAAAACUUUGAUUCAACGAAAUUACGACAAUUGAUUGUCCGGGUCACAAACCCUUAUCAUUGAUCGAAUUAAUUAUGGUUUUUGAUUGACGAUUUUUUAUUCUUAUUUUUAUUGUCACCCAUCAUUAUUAUGUCAUAUUUACAUAAUGUAAAUAAUUUGGGACCGGGAUAUCACAAUUUCUACUAAAUUUGAUAUUCCAAACACAUGGCGGAGUCCACUCCAUCGAAUUCUUUCCCAAACUCAAAUUACAGUUUAACUAUAGUUCUAACAACUUCUAACCUAAUUGCCAGCUCAACAUAGGCUAGUGUUUAAGACACUGUAGUUUGAGUUGUUGCUGUGCUGUUUGGGCUGCACUCAUAAAUUAGAACAAGAUGCUGUAGUAUGCUCAGUACACUACAAAAGUGUUUUUAAGCUCACGUUAAACAUUCCCUCAGUAUUAGAGGUUAUUAUAAUCAUUCAUACAAGAAAACUGUAUAAAGACAAUAAGCUGUUGAAAAAAAAUAAAAACUUCUCAAGACAUGCAUUGUAAUUUUCUCUUCUAAUUAAUAAAGUAUUCUUCUUUUAUAAAAAAAAAAACAGGAAAAAAGAGUGUUCUUGCACAAAGGGCUGUAAAAGAGUAGAUUGCAAACAUUGUUAAUGGGUUGAUAAUCUUUCAUUAGUUUUGCAUAAGAGUGCUCUGCCUUUUGCUUCUUAUUUUGAGAUCCCAGUAUAGACGACGAAUGCACUUGCAAUCUUAUUAUUAGUGGGAACAUUAAUACUUUGUUUUUAGUCAUAUUAUUUUCUAUGUACUUCUCAUGGAAAAUUGUGCGAAGCAGACUGGAGGUCUGGGGUAAUUAAAGAGUUAGAUUUCUCUUCCGAUUACAAGACCGCUAUGUUAAUACCAUAGAACUGCUCCUCUUUUUUCCUUCCCCCCUUUUACUGUGUUUUCACCCACCACCACAGAAUUUUGUAGUUGUUGGUGAGAGAAAUCAAACCACUUAUAUUGUUAUCAGUAGGUUUAAUGUGUAUCCUGAAGGACUUUUGCCCCGUUUCAAUUAUUUAAGCAUUUUUAAUUAUCGGUUUAUAUUAUUUUGUUGGAACCUAAUUAUUAUUUUUUUCGAGGGGGGGAGGGGGUGAUGGUGAAUUCUUUUUAAUGGGAUCCUUUGGAAGGGUGAUAAAAUUCUAACACAGCAUGGGUUCGUUGUUUCAAAUUUUAACUUCACCAUCUGAUUGAACUAUUUACUGGAAUAACAUGUGUUUCAAUAUACUCUGUAUUAUAAUCAUUGAAUAACAUGUUUUCUUAGUCUUAUGUUUAGAAUGCAUGCAUUCAUUUCAUAUAUUUGACAUGCAUUCCAUGUACUACUACUUGUAGGAUGUUGAUGUCGAGGAUGAGCAUGAUGAAGAUUCAGGCGAUAGUAACGAGGAUGGAGACUCGUGAUUAUAUAUGCAUGUUGAUCUUGUAGGUAGUAUUUUUUAGAAGUUACUUUUGUUUACCAUCGAGAAUGGGAUAAGAUGGUGUGAUUAUGCAUAUUUUGAGCUUUAAAGCAGUAGUUUUUAGAAGUUACUUUUGUUGUAUUUGGUGAGACUUGUAGUACGUUGAUAUUUGUAAUAGUACUCAUCGAUAGAUGUCUUAUCUAGUAUUGUCUAUAAAUAACAGUUUAGUAAUUAUCAUUAUUAUUUUGAACAUAUUUAUUUUUAGAUUUUGAAAUUAAAUUA
rnacentral:lncRNA from 1 species